AGUACUUGUUUAUGUUUUUGUUUUACUUGUGGACAAAGCCUAACAGGUGCAAAAAAUAAAUCCUCUUUUGCAACCCAGAACUCUUGUUCAGUAUGAGUUUUGAUACAUAUAAGAAGAAAUACU
rnacentral:snoRNA from 1 species